rnacentral:tRNA from 1 species
CGCAGGAUGGAGAAGGCGAUCUCCACCACGUUGGCGCCGUCGUGCAGCGGGCGUCCCAUGAUGCACUGGUACAUCACCGCUCCCAGCGA